UACGGGGGGGGCAAGCGUUGUUCGGAAUUACUGGGCGUAAAGGGCUCGUAGGCGGCCAACUAAGUCGGACGUGAAAUCCCUCGGCUCAACUGGGGAACUGCACGGGAAACUGGAAGGCUUGAGUUCGGGAGAGGGAAGCGGAAUUCCGGGUGUAGCGGUGAAAUGCGUAGAUAUCCGGAGGAACACCGGUGGCGAAGGCGGCUUCCUGGACCGACACUGACGCUGAGGCGCGAAAGCUAGGGGAGCAAACGGG
rnacentral:rRNA from 1 species